GAUGAACGCUGGCGGCGUGCCUAAUACAUGCAAGUCGAGCGAACAGACAAGGAGCUUGCUCCUUUGACGUUAGCGGCGGACGGGUGAGUAACACGUGGGUAACCUACCUAUAAGACUGGGAUAACUUCGGGAAACCGGAGCUAAUACCGGAUAAUAUUUCGAACCGCAUGGUUCGAUAGUGAAAGAUGGUUUUGCUAUCACUUAUAGAUGGACCCGUGCCGUAUUAGCUAGUUGGUAAGGUAACGGCUUACCAAGGCGACGAUACGUAGCCGACCUGAGAGGGUGAUCGGCCACACUGGAACUGAGACACGGUCCAGACUCCUACGGGAGGCAGCAGUAGGGAAUCUUCCGCAAUGGGCGAAAGCCUGACGGAGCAACGCCGCGUGAGUGAUGAAGGUCUUCGGAUCGUAAAACUCUGUUAUUAGGGAAGAACAUACGUGUAAGUAACUAUGCACGUCUUGACGGUACCUAAUCAGAAAGCCACGGCUAACUACGUGCCAGCAGCCGCGGUAAUACGUAGGUGGCAAGCGUUAUCCGGAAUCAUUGGGCGUAAAGCGCGCGUAGGCGGUUUUUUAAGUCUGAUGUGAAAGCCCACGGCUCAACCGUGGAGGGUCAUUGGAAACUGGAAAACUUGAGUGCAGAAGAGGAAAGUGGAAUUCCAUGUGUAGCGGUGAAAUGCGCAGAGAUAUGGAGGAACACCAGUGGCGAAGGCGACUUUCUGGUCUGUAACUGACGCUGAUGUGCGAAAGCGUGGGGAUCAAACAGGAUUAGAUACCCUGGUAGUCCACGCCGUAAACGAUGAGUGCUAAGUGUUAGGGGGUUUCCGCCCCUUAGUGCUGCAGCUAACGCAUUAAGCACUCCGCCUGGGGAGUACGACCGCAAGGUUGAAACUCAAAGGAAUUGACGGGGACCCGCACAAGCGGUGGAGCAUGUGGUUUAAUUCGAAGCAACGCGAAGAACCUUACCAAAUCUUGACAUCCUUUGACAACUCUAGAGAUAGAGCCUUCCCCUUCGGGGGACAAAGUGACAGGUGGUGCAUGGUUGUCGUCAGCUCGUGUCGUGAGAUGUUGGGUUAAGUCCCGCAACGAGCGCAACCCUUAAGCUUAGUUGCCAUCAUUAAGUUGGGCACUCUAAGUUGACUGCCGGUGACAAACCGGAGGAAGGUGGGGAUGACGUCAAAUCAUCAUGCCCCUUAUGAUUUGGGCUACACACGUGCUACAAUGGACAAUACAAAGGGCAGCGAAACCGCGAGGUCAAGCAAAUCCCAUAAAGUUGUUCUCAGUUCGGAUUGUAGUCUGCAACUCGACUACAUGAAGCUGGAAUCGCUAGUAAUCGUAGAUCAGCAUGCUACGGUGAAUACGUUCCCGGGUCU
rnacentral:rRNA from 1 species